rnacentral:lncRNA from 1 species
GCCUGAAGGACUUCCGGGAACCGCAAAGCACGGUGUGCCUCCGCUGUCCUGAAGAAAAAGCCGCGCGCGGACGACUGGCCGGCCCGCGCUUGCAGCUCCCAGAAGUUGACAGGCAUCCUCCGGUGACCGGUGUGAGUAUGGCAUCAGGAUGAUUUGACUGCAAGCAACAGAAAAAUCAAACAAAAAUGGCCUAAGCCAAGAAGAGAAAUGAUUAUUUCACAUUCCAAGAAGUUUGGGAGUCGAGUGGUUAAACGGCUAAUUAAUCUAGAGCUCAACAGUAUCACCCAGGACCCAUUUUCACUAUGGUGGCUAAAGCUCUGCACCCUUCAGGCUUGCACCAUGGCAGCAGCAGUGACAGUAAAGACACCCUUACACCACAAUGCUCCAUGACCAGGGAGAGGGUCUCCUCUCUCCUGCCCCUUUCUGGAGGCUCCACCGAAGAUUUCUCUUCACAUUCCGUUUCUCAUUCCUGAAGCAGUUGCUGGCAACAGGGAUGGACUUACCGCAAUGGGUACAGAGCAACUAAGAUUCACCACUAGGUGAGUCCUUUGGAAAACACUUGGCCAUCCAAUAUAUAAACAAAUCUGGUACUCCUGUCAGGAAAGAGGUAGGUAAUUCCCAACAGCCAAUAGUGUCUGCCACAAGUGAAAUAUCUCAUCAGAGAAAACUGAGUAGGUAAUACAUGAUUCUGUGUUUUCUCUGUUUUCUGCCUUUGCUUUUUCCAUUUGGUAAGACUCACCUGUGUUCCUCUUUGUGGCUCUUUCUCCUUGAUAAUACAACCCUGGUUUAGUUCAGAUACAGGUGGCAAUAGGCCAGAAUUUGUCCUAGGAGACAAAUUCGUGAUGAGCCUCGCAAAGUCAUGACAAUCCCAAUUCCAUUUGCCAGUGAACCAUUUAGGGAUGGCCACGUGACUCAGUUCUGGUCACCAAGGUGGUGGAAGAGAAGUUCUCUUGAGGGGCAUCUGGGAAAGAUUCUUCUGCCUGAUAAAACAGGAGGUAAGCAAGGGUUCUGCUCCCCCAUUUGUUUCUGCCUUUGAACGUGGCUGUGGGAAGACAUGAUGCUUAGUGUUGCUGCAGCUAUCUCAUGACCUUGGGCAAAACAUCCCAACACACAGGAGGGCCAAACAAGCAGUCAGAAGAAGCCUGAGUCUUGUGGGUGUUGUUGAGCAGCUGAACAAACCCUAGGAUGGCUUCCUUCCAGACUUCUUAGGAUUGCGAACAAUGAAGCUCUAUUGUUUAAGCAAGGUAUCGAUGGCUAUUUUCACUUGCCACUGAAAGCACCAGGACAGAGAAUCGUCUUUCUAGGAAUACAGCCACAAAAGCCUUCAUUAUGGUAUAUGCACAUAAAGAAUAUAAAAGUUUCCUUUAUGUUUCUCUUUAAAAUAUAGCUGAAGUCUGCCUCAGGCAAAAAGACAAACAGAAAACAUAAAUGCAUACAUAAUUCAAGAACAAUAAAUAUUUAUUUUAAAAUGAAUAAAUGUUCUGCAGGAUAUUGUAAUAGUUUUCUCAGGGAAUAUAUUUUUCUAAUACUUAUAUCAACUAACAGUAUUUCUGUGGCAUCUCCAGGUCCUCUGUGUUUAAGUCCUCCCUAGAAACUGCAUUUCUCUCCUUUUUCCUGCUACUUUGGAUCUCAAAUGUGCCUAAAAAGAAAUACUUUUAACUUCUCUGGUUUUUCUUUUUUCAAAUAUUAACUUGUAACUUGCAGUUGUAACAUGGUUGUUGCUAGCUAGCUGUCAAGUAUUUGUCCAAAAAUGUGUUCCUAGAAUACCUUCAUCUUACAGUCACUCAAUCCAUAAUAGAGUUUAAACAUUUUUCCAUAAUAUUUCACAGAAUAUUCAUGUUUUUACAUAAAAAACACUUUUAAUAUAUGAACUAUCUGCAACACACAGCAAAAUCCCAGUUAUAUGACAUCAAUAGCCAUAUACUAAAAUACACCUAACAAUAUUCAUAUUAAACUCAAAUUUAAUAUAUGUUAAUAUGUAGGCAUAUUUACUUAUACAUAAAGCUGUAGAUUUCUCUCUAUCCUUCCCCCGUACUUCCCAGAGGUAACCAUUGUAUUGAUGAUGAUGUUGAUGACAGCAACAAUGAUGAUGAUAAUGAUGGUAAUAAAAACCGCAAAUUUGCUGUAUGCCAGGCAGUAUUCUAAGCACUUUACAUACAUUAACUCCUUAAAUGUCCACCGCAGACAUAUGACAUAGAUACUAUUAUUAUCCUUCAUUUUAUAGAUGAGAGGUUGAGAAAAAAAUUGGUUAAGCAGCUUGUCCAAGGCCACACAGCUGGUGUGCCAGGAUUCCAACACAGGCAAUCUGGCCCUGGAGCCCUUUGCCGUAUCCCAUUGCUAUAUGGAUAUUGCUGUGUAUCAUUAUAUACUUUCUCUAAACAUGUAUGCAACCAUAAAAAGCUAUACAUAGGAUUUCUCUCCUUUUUAAAAAGUAUAUAAUCUUAUAACAUUUAUGGGGUCUUUUUCCAGUUAUUUUGCUAUUAUGAAAAAUGUUGCAAUGAAUAGUCUUGAAUAUACAUCCUUGUGCAUUUACUCUCUGGUAAACAUCUAGAAGCCAAAUUUCUGCUUGGUAGAUUACUCAUAUUAACAUUUUUUUUUUAGUUAUUCCAAAAUUGCUCUUCAAAGUAAUUGUACCAAUUUGCAGUUCUGCCAGCACUGUAUAAGUUUUCCAUUUCUCGCUAACUCCAUCAAUUCUUUGUAUCAUUGAGUUCGCUGAUUUUUGCUAAUCUGACUGAUGUGAGGUGGUAUUUCAUUAUUCUCAUUUGCACUCUUCUUUGAUUGCUAGAGAGGUAAGAGCAUCUUUUCAUAUGCUUGUUAUCUAUUUAUGCUUAUUUUUUUCUUGGAUUUUCAUUUUGUCUGAUUUUAAACGAAUUCUAUGACAUUCUGCUGAAUAAAGUGAGUUACAUAGGUUGUAAACACCUUCCCAUGGUAGCUAUUGACCUUCUUUUUGUUGUCAUCUUGAUACAUGGAAGUAUUUAGUUUAAUGUAGUUACAUUCUCAAUACUUUCUUUUCUCAAUAUGGUUUAUGCUUUUAGCAUUAUAAGUAAUAUGGCAGUACUCAGAUGUCAUCAAGAUAUUCUUCUAUAUAUUCUUUUUAAAUUUAGCUUUUCACAUUUAGGCAACUUUGAGUAUGCUAUGAAGUAGUACCCAAUUUUACCGUCUUUCAUAUAAAUACUUGAAUCUAUCUUUUUCUAUAUGGUGAUGUCUCAGCAUCAUUUAAUGAAGACUCUCAUUCUUUGCCCAGUGAUUUGUGAUGUUAUCUCUGUCAUAUUCCACAUUUACAUAUCUAAGUGGUUUUAUUCGUACGCUCUCUAUUCCCUGUGGCAAUAUCACAUUGUUUAGUAUAGUUUUACAUGAUAAUGUAGUAUCAAUAUUCAAAAGGAUAACCACCCUGCUUUUUUCUUUUCCUCCUUCUCUGCCUCCUUCUCCUCCUUCUUCUUUGCAAUUGUCUAGCCUAUUCUUGAAUUUUUAUUCUUUCAUAUGCAUUUAAGAAUCAUCUUGUCAAGUUCUUCGAAAAACCCUACUGAAAUUUUUAUUGAAAUUGUAUUGAAUUUAUAUGUGAAUUUGGGAAAAAUUGUCUUUUUUUUUUUUUUGACGGAGUCUCGCUCUGUCACCCAGGCUGGAGUGCAGUGGUACAAUCUCAGCUCACGGCAAACUCGGCCUUCUAGAUUCACGCCAUUCUCCUGCCUCAGCCUCCCAAGUAGCUGGGACUACAGGCACCCACCACCUGGCCUGGCUAAUUUUUUUUGUAUUUUUAGUAGAGACGGGGUUUCACCAUGUUAGCCAGGAUGCUCUCGAUCUCCUGACGUCGUGAUCCGCCAGCCUCGGCCUCCCAAAGUGCUGGGAUUACAGGCGUGAGCCACAGCGCCCGGCCAAUUUCACAAAUAGAUUUUUUUUCUUACUGUAAAUCUUAGCAAGCUCAGCAUACGAAUUUUUUUUUCCUUAAAUUGAAAGCUUUUACCCUUUCACUUAAAGGCAGCACUUUAUGGCUUCUCUUGGGCAUAUCCAAAUUGCUACCAUCACUACUCGUAUUAGUCCAUUUUCACGCUGCUGAUAAAGA